rnacentral:rRNA from 1 species
AGUGAACGCUGGCGGUAGGCCUAACACAUGCAAGUCGAACGGCAGCACAGUAAGAGCUUGCUCUUACGGGUGGCGAGUGGCGGACGGGUGAGGAAUACAUCGGAAUCUACUUUUUCGUGGGGGAUAACGUAGGGAAACUUACGCUAAUACCGCAUACGACCUACGGGUGAAAGCAGGGGAUCUUCGGACCUUGCGCGAUUGAAUGAGCCGAUGUCGGAUUAGCUAGUUGGCGGGGUAAAGGCCCACCAAGGCGACGAUCCGUAGCUGGUCUGAGAGGAUGAUCAGCCACACUGGAACUGAGACACGGUCCAGACUCCUACGGGAGGCAGCAGUUGGGAAUAUUGGGCAAUGGGCGCAAGCCUUAUCCAGCCAUACCGCGGGGGUGAAGAAGGCCUUCGGGUUGUAAAGCCCUUUUGUUGGGGAAGAAAAGCAGCAGGUUAAAACCCCGCUGUUCUGACGGUACCCAAAGAAUAAGCACCGGCUAACUUCGUG